rnacentral:rRNA from 1 species
UACGGAGGGUGCAAGCGUUAUCCGGAUUCACUGGGUUUAAAGGGUCCGCAGGCGGGAUUAUAAGUCAGUGGUGAAAGCCUACAGCUCAACUGUAGAACUGCCAUUGAUACUGUAAUUCUUGAAUUCGAUCGAAGUGGGCGGAAUAUGACAUGUAGCGGUGAAAUGCUUAGAUAUGUCAUAGAACACCGAUAGCGAAGGCAGCUCACUAGGUCUGGAUUGACGCUCAGGGACGAAAGCGUGGGGAGCAAACAGG